rnacentral:rRNA from 1 species
UACGAAGGGUGCGAGCGUUAUUCGGAGUAAUUGGGCGUAAAGGGUGCGUAGGCGGCGCAUUAAGUCAAUUGUUAAAUCCCUCAGCCUAACUGAGGACUUGCGAUUGAUACUAGUGUGCUUGAGGAUGGGAGAGAGAAGUGGAAUUCUCGGAGUAGCGGUAAAAUGCGUAGAUCUCGAGAGGAACACCAAUGGCGAAGGCAGCUUCUUGGUCCAUUUCUGACGCUGAUGCACGAAAGCGUGGGGAGCAAAC